UGAAUACGAGACGCUAAGGCGUCGAAGUAGUGUAUGUCAUACUUCCAAGAAAAGCUUGCACUGUCAUAGAUAAAAAACGCCUGUACCAUAACCGACACAGGUGGGUAGGUAGAGUAUACUAAGGGGCGCGAGAUAACUCUCUCUAAGGAACUCGGCAAAAUAACUCCGUAACUUCGGGAGAAGGAGUGCCUUAUUCUUAAGGUUGCAAUAACAAGAUCCAAGCAACUGUUUAUCAAAAACACAGGUCUCCGCUAAGUCGUAAGACGAUGUAUGGGGGCUGACGCCUGCCCAGUGCCAGAAGGUUAAAGAAGCUGGUUAGCAUUUGCGAAGCUAGUAACUGAAGCCCUGGUGAACGGCGGCCGUAACAAUAACGGUCCUAAGGUAGCGAAAUUCCUUGUCGGGUAAGUUCCGACCCGCACGAAAGGCGUAAUGAUUUGGAUACUGUCUCGGAGAGGGGCUCGGUGAAAUAGACUUGUCUGUGAAGAUGCGGACUACCUGCACCAGGACAGAAAGACCCUAUGAAGCUUUACUGUAACUUGAAAUUGAAAUUGGACUUUAUUCGCGCAGUAUAGGUGGGAGGCGUUGAUUAUAAUCUUGCGGGAUUAUUGGAGCCAUUAGUGAGAUACCACUCUUGUAAUGUUAGAUUUCUAACUUUGAAUCAUUAUCUGGUCAAAGAACAGUUUCAGGCGGGCAGUUUGACUGGGGCGGUCGCCUCCUAAACGGUAACGGAGGCGUACAAAGGUUUCCUCUGAACGGUUAGAAAUCGUAUCUAGAGUGUAAAGGCAUAAGGAAGCUUGACUGUGAGACCUACAAGUCGAGCAGGGACGAAAGUCGGUCUUAGUGAUCUGACGGUACUGAGUGGAAAGGCCGUCACUCAACGGAUAAAAGUUACUCUAGGAUAACAGGCUGAUCUCCCCCAAGAGUUCACAUCGACGGGGAGGUUUGGCACCUCGAUGUCGGCUCAUCGCAUCCUGGCGCGGUAGUACGUCCCAAGGGUUGGGCUGUUCGCCCAUGAAAGCGGUACGCGAGCUGGGUUCAGAACGUCGUGAGACAGUUCGGUCCAUAUCCGGUGUAGGCGUUAGAAUAUUGAGAGGAGCCUUCUUUAGUACGAGAGGACCGAGAAGGACAUACCUCUGGUGUACCAGUUAUCGUGCCAACGGUAAACGCUGGGUAGCUAUGUAUGGAGUGGAUAACCGCUGAAAGCAUCUAAGUGGGAAGCCCACCUCAAGAUAAG
rnacentral:rRNA from 1 species